rnacentral:rRNA from 1 species
CUCCUACGGGGCGCAGCAGUGGGGAAUAUUGGACAAUGGGGGGAACCCUGAUCCAGCGACGCCGCGUGAGUGAAGAAGUAUUUCGGUAUGUAAAGCUCUAUCAGCAGGGAAGAAAGAAAUGACGGUACCUGACUAAGAAGCCCCGGCUAACUACGUGCCAGCAGCCGCGGUAAUACGUAGGGGGCAAGCGUUAUCCGGAUUUACUGGGUGUAAAGGGAGCGUAGACGGCAGGGCAAGUCUGGAGUGAAAGGCAGGGGCCCAACCCCUGGACUGCUCUGGAAACUGUCCGGCUGGAGUGCAGGAGG